UCUGCUUGCAGGAAAGGAAGAAAAGCAGGCCCAAGAUUAUUCUGAGACAACUGGAGGGUGACAAGACUUAAGUAGAGAAAUACUGGUUUCACAUUUUGAGCCAACCAGAUAAUCUGUGGAUACAUUUUGUAGUCCAUUGUAGAUCCCCAAACAACCAGAUGCCUUUUUUCUUCUUUGGAAUCAGUAGGAUUUAAAUAAUAUGCCUGGAAGACUUCUGAACCACUAGCAUCUUCAAGUUCCUGGCUAAAUUUACAGCCUCUUGUGUUCAGCACCUGGAUUGUGCUCAGGAUGGCAAGAGAACAAAGCAAUCUGCUUGCUGUACUUGGGAUAGAGAAGACCUGCACGAGAAAGCCAGAUAUUCAAGAUGGUGUGAUUUCUAUCACAAGCUCUGAAGGACAGCGUGGCAGGACUUAACUGCAGACCAGUGUUUUCAUUAGAAGGAACGAGCUGCCUGUAGAUGUGUCCUUACAACUCCAUUGUGCUCUGAACAGCUUCUUGCUGACCGCUGCCUCAAUAUCAGUGAUUCCACCCUAGACCAUAAGCUCCAUGAGGGUAAGAAUCAAGUACUUGUUUUGUUUUGUUUUUGUUACC
rnacentral:lncRNA from 10 species